UACUCCUCUCGAUCCGUAGCAUCCUCUCGAGAUUGACCUCCAGGGUAGGAGCCCCAGUGGGAGAAUUCCCCAAAAGGGUUCGGAAGAUUGAAGGCGGCGGGGAGCCGACGGAGAUGGCGAAGAUUGGCGCGAAGAAUGCUUGGGGUCGAAAAGGGCGUCGAUGGGUGGCUAAAUUCUCAGGCAGAAGAAGGGCAUCGUCUGGGCUCUCAGGCGAAAUGAAGUCCCUGGA
rnacentral:lncRNA from 1 species